rnacentral:rRNA from 1 species
CCUACGGGAGGCUGCAGUGGGGAAUAUUGCACAAUGGGCGCAAGCCUGAUGCAGCCAUGCCGCGUGUGUGAAGAAGGCCUUCGGGUUGUAAAGCACUUUCAGCGGGGAGGAAGGCGGUGAGGUUAAUAACCUCAUCGAUUGACGUUACCCGCAGAAGAAGCACCGGCUAACUCCGUGCCAGCAGCCGCGGUAAUACGGAGGGUGCAAGCGUUAAUCGGAAUUACUGGGCGUAAAGCGCACGCAGGCGGUCUGUCAAGUCGGAUGUGAAAUCCCCGGGCUCAACCUGGGAACUGCAUUCGAAACUGGCAGGCUAGAGUCUUGUAGAGGGGGGUAGAAUUCCAGGUGUAGCGGUGAGAUGCGUAGAGAUCUGGAGGAAUACCGGUGGCGAAGGCGGCCCCCUGGACAAAGACUGACGCUCAGGUGCGAAAGCGUGGGGAGCAAACAGGAUUAGAUACCCUUGUAGUC